UCUCUCUCUCCAAAUAUUCAAUCGUGAUCUCUCUCUCUCUCCUCUUUAAUCUCAAUCUCUCUCUCCCCCUCUCUCUAGAGCCAUCGCCGCCACACUCCUCCGUCGCCCCGACCACACCGCGAGCCCUUCCACGCCUCCGCGACUCCUCCUCCACCGGUCGUAGCAGCCGCCGGAGUAGCCGCCUCCUCUCUCCCCUCUCUCUAGAGCAGCCGACUCCUCCUCCUUGCCUCACCGACUACACCACGACGGGGAUUAGGGUUUGGGUCAUUUCUCAUCGCCGCCUGCUGCCGCUGACUCCUCAUUUGCGCCCGGGCUGGCCUGACUCCUCCUUCAUGCCCUUGCCGAUUCCGCCGUGACGGGGAGUUAGGGUUUGGGUCAUUUCUCCUUCACCGUCCGCCGCCGCCGACUCUUCCUCCAUGCCCUCGCCAACUCCGUCACAACAGGAGAGAGAUUACCUUGUUGUUUCAGUUAAAUUAUACUAUCAGUUUUUGCUUGAUGGGAGAGAGACGAAGGUUAUGCUCAACAGCUCGGGAGUUCUGUUGAAGUGGAGUAGAUUGGAGACCCAUAUGAAUAGAGAUACCCUUUUGCUGUCUGGGCUUUUGAUUGCGAUGUGCUCUGCUGUGACUAUUUGUGCGGGUGUUUGUUCAACUUAUAGUUCCAUUUAUCAUAUCUCUAUGGCUUCACCUUUUUAAAACAGUCCAUCUGCUUUCACGAUCGUGAUUAUGGUUCGAGGUUAUAGGAAGAUUUCACUUAAAACAUUGAGGUGAUGCUGAGUGAUGCUUCUUUUAUAUGUAUUUCAUGUUUAUGCUCUAUACAUAUGCCAUAACAUUGAACUCAAUAUGUUGUGUAUUGGCGACUAAUGUAGUUGUAGAUGUAGGGUCGAAAAGUUGAUGUUUGAUUGA